rnacentral:rRNA from 1 species
AUUGAACGCUGGCGGCAUGCUUUACACAUGCAAGUCGAACGGCAGCGCGGGCUUCGGUCUGGCGGAGAGUGGCGGACGGGUGAGUAAUGCAUCGGAACGUGCCAAGUUGCGGGUGAUAGGGGGGAGAAAGCCGGAAUAAUACCGCAUACGACCUGAGGGUGUAAGCGGGGGACCGGAAGGCCUCGCGCUAUUGGAGCGGCCGAUGUCGGAUUAGCUAGUUGGUGGGGUAAAGGCUUACCAAGGCGACGAUCCGUAGCUGGUCUGAGAGGACGAGCAGCCACACUGGGACUGAGACACGGCCCAGACUCCUACGGGAGGCAGCAGUGGGGAAUUUUGGACAAUGGGGGCAACCCUGAUCCAGCCAUGCCGCGUGCGGGAAGAAGGCCUUCGGGUUGUAAACCGCUUUUGUUCGGGAAGAAAUCCUCUGGGCUAAUACCCCGGGGGGAUGACGGUACCGGAAGAAUAAGCACCGGCUAACUACGUG